rnacentral:misc_RNA from 1 species
AAAAUCUUUAAAAAAAAAGAAAGUAUUUUUAUCGUAAUUCAGAAGAAUUUUCACGUAAAAUUUUUAAUUCUCAAGAGAAGUAUGACAAGCGUGUUGGGUGCGGAGUGUGACAAAAUCCGAUUGGAUUAUGAAGCGGAGACGGAGCUGAGGCUCGGAUUGCCCGGAGCUAAUGGGAAUGAACUGGAAUCGAGUAAUAAGAACAAUGGCAAAAGGGUCUUUUCAGAAACUGUUGAUUUGAAAUUAAACCUUUCUAAUUCAAAGGAUUCCACAUUAAUGGAUAAUAUUAAUAUUAAUCAAGUUGAUAACAUGAAGGAGAAGAAGAAUAAUAUUGUUGUGCCAAGCUCUAAUGAUCCUGCUAAGCCACCAGCCAAGGCACAAGU